rnacentral:rRNA from 1 species
CGUAGGGUCCAAGCGUUAUCCGGAAUCACUGGGCGUAAAGCGUGCGUAGGUGGCGCGUUAAGUGAGAUGUUAAAUCGUGGGGCUCAACCCUGUCGGUGCAUCUCAUACUGGCGUGCUAGAGGACAGCAGAGGCAAGUGGAAUUUGUAGUGUAGCAGUGAAAUGCGUAGAUAUUACAAGGAACACCAAUGGCGAAGGCAGCUUGCUGGGCUACUCCUGACACUGAGGUACGAAAGCGUGGGGAGCGAACAGGAUUAGAUACCCUGGUAGUCCACGCCGUAAACGAUGCAUACUAGACGUAGUGGGGUAUCCGACCCCCUGUGCGUCGAAGCUAACGCGAUAAGUAUGCCGCCGUGGAAGUACGGCCGCAAGACU